rnacentral:rRNA from 1 species
GUUCCGUAGGUGAACCUGCGGAGGAUCAUUA